GCCCGGUUGGCUCAGUUGGUAGAGCGUGUGACUCUUAAUGGCGCCUGUCGGAUUCAGGAACCUAGAGGGGAUCUCAAGGUCGCGAGUUCGAGUCUCGCACCGGGCU